rnacentral:rRNA from 1 species
UUGGGAAUCUUGCGCAAUGGGCGAAAGCCUGACGCAGCGACGCCGCGUGAGGGAUGACGCAUUUCGGUGUGUAAACCUCUUUUCUCAGGGACGACUCUCGACGGUACCUGAGGAAUAAGCCCCGGCUAACUCCGUGCCAGCAGCCGCGGUAAGACGGAGGGGGCGAGCGUUGUCCGGAAUUACUGGGCGUAAAGGGCGCGUAGGCGGUCUGAUACGGCGGUGGUGAAAGCUCCUGGCUUAACUGGGAGAGGCCCAUCGCGACGGUCGGACUGGAGGCGGGUAGAGGCAGAUGGAAUUCCUGGUGUAGCGGUGAAAUGCGUAGAGAUCAGGAGGAACACCCAUGGCGAAGGCAGUCUGCUGGGCCUGGCCUGACGCUGAGGCGCGAAGGCGAGGGGAGCGAACGGG